CCUACGGGUGGCAGCAGUGGGGAAUUUUGGACAAUGGGCGCAAGCCUGAUCCAGCCAUGCCGCGUGCAGGAUGAAGGCCCUCGGGUUGUAAACUGCUUUUGUACGGGACGAAAAGCCUCUCUCGAAUAACGAGGGGUGAUGACGGUACCGUAAGAAUAAGCACCGGCUAACUACGUGCCAGCAGCCGCGGUAAUACGUAGGGUGCGAGCGUUAAUCGGAAUUACUGGGGGCGAAGCGGCAGCAGACGGGCGAAAUCCCCGGGCUCAACCUGGGAACGGCCAUUGUGACUGCAAGGCUGGAGUACGGUAGAGGGGGAUGGAAUUCCGCGUGUAGCAGUGAAAUGCGUAGAUAUGCGGAGGAACACCGAUGGCGAAGGCAGUCCCCUGGGCCUGUACUGACGCUCAUGCACGAAAGCGUGGGGAGCAAACAGGAUUAGAUACCCCGGUAGUC
rnacentral:rRNA from 1 species